UUUUAAAUGUUCUAUUUCGAAUGCCUUAUAAUUCAAGUUUUCGGUUCCAACUGCACGCACACAUCAAAUUGUUUGAGUGCAGGAAAUGCCUCGUGUCCAUCAAAUACAUGUCAAUGUGAUACCAGCUUUAAAGACGUGGAAGGGAAAUGCACCCCCAAGAUUAUCGACAAACCUUGUAAUGAUACAACUGAAUCGACUGUAUGCACACUAAAGAACUCCAAGUGCAUUUCAAAAAGUGUAGAUGUAAAUCAGGUUACAAGAACAAAGAUGACACAUGCUUGAAAAUUCUUGGUACUUCAUAUAGCACAACAUCAGAUUGCAAUGACCCGCCAAUGCGGAUUGUCUAAAAAACAAAUGCUCUUGCAAGGCAACUUAUGUUGAGGAAAAUGGAGUUUGUCCCAAAGCGGCCGGUCAAAACUGUUCAACAAUUACGGAUUGUGGUUUAAAUGCUAACUGUGAUAAAGUUUGAAGUCCUUGCAAAUGUAAAGACGGAUUUGUUGCUUCAAGUGGAUUGUGUGCGAAA